UGCCAGCGGCUUCCAGGCAGACAGAGAAUCGGGGGUUUGUCUUUAUUUGACUUCUUGCUUGAACCAUCUGGCUGAUGAAGUCUUUCUUUUCAUCUUGUGGCUUCAGUAAAGUAACUACCAUGUUUCCAAGCACACUGUCUUGAAGCUUUGGCUAUUGACCAGAAAGAGAGAUUGGCACCAAUGUGGAUGACCUGACCCACAUAAGAAGAUAGGUGGCUCGUAUGUAGUGGUCAAGUGCUUGGUCUUUGAAGUUGAACUUCCUAGAUUAAAAUCCGAUUUCCGUCCGUUGUCAGCUA